CCUACGGGAGGCAGCAGUGAGGAAUAUUGGUCAAUGGGCGCGAGCCUGAACCAGCCAAGUCGCGUGAGGGAUGACGGUCCUACGGAUUGUAAACCUCUUUUGCCGGGGAGCAAGCGUGCGUUCGUGAACGCGCGACGAGAGUUCCCGGAGAAAAAGCAACCGCCAACUCCGUGCCAGCCGCCGCGGUAAUACGGAGGAUGCGAGUGUUAUCCGGAUUUAAUGGGUUUAAAGGGUGCGUAGGCGGGGAUGCAAGUCAGACGGGAAAAAGCGGGGGUCAACCGCGGAGGUGCGGUGGAAAUUGGCGAUCUUGAGUGGGCGAGAGGUAUGCGGAAUGCGUGGUGUAGCGGUGAAAUGCGUAGAUAUCACGCAGAACUCCGAUUGCGAAGGCAGCAUACCGGCGCGCUACUGACGCUGAGGCACGAAAGCGUGGGUAUCGAACAGGAUUAGAUACCCGAGUAGUC
rnacentral:rRNA from 1 species